AUUGAACGCUGGCGGCAGGCCUAACACAUGCAAGUCGCGCGAGCGGCGGACGGGUGAGUAAUGUAUGGGGACUGCCCGAUAGAGGGGGAUAACUACUGGAAACGGUGGCUAAUACCGCAUACUAUCGGAUAACCCAUAUGGGAUUUGCUAGUAGGUGGGGUAAAAGCUAACCUAGGCGACGAUCUCUAGCUGGGCUGAGAGGCUGACCAGCCACACUGGGACGUAGACACGGCCAAGACUCCUACGGAGGCAGCAGGGGGGAAGAUUGCACAAUGGGCGAAAUCCUGAUGCAGCCAUGCGGCGUGUAUGAAGAAGGCUUUAGGGUUGUAAAGUACUUUCAGCGGGGAGGCGUUACCCGCAGAAGAAGCACCGGCUAACUCCGUGCCAGCAGCCGCGGUAAUAC
rnacentral:rRNA from 1 species